GCAGGAUUUUAAUGAUCUUAAAGAACGUGCAUUUACCAGUAAUACUAAAUUUGAAGACGAUCAAUUUUUCGUAUAUUCAUCUACAGAACUUUUCCAAUUUUUAAGACCCACGGAAUUUGUAGAUGAUCCAGUGUUUUAUUUACCACAACAUAACAACCGUUUUUAUGUAAAACAAGGAGGACUAGGUGAUUGCUGGUUUGUAGUUGGACUUGCACAUCUUCAAUAUUAUCCAAAUUUAUUUAAAUUCAUUGUCCAGCCAUACGAGCAGACAUUCAAUGUUAACAAUUAUGCUGGAAUAUUUCACUUUAGAUUUUGGCAAGCUGGAACAUGGGUUGACGUUGUCAUUGAUGAUCGUCUUAUAACUAGGCAAAAAAAACUUGUUUAUGCAUCCUCAAGAUAUACCAAUGAGUUUUGG